CCCUUAGAUGUUCUGGGCCGCACGCGCGCUACACUGAACAGUUCAACAAGUCUUAACCUUGGCCGAUAGGUCUGGGUAAUCUUUGAACGCUGUUCGUGAUUGGGAUAGACCUUUGCAAUUAUGGGUCUUCAACGAGGAAUUCCUAGUAAACGCAAGUCAUCAGCUUGCAUUGAUUACGUCCCUGCCCUUUGUACACACCGCCCGUCGCACCUACCGAUUGAAUGGUCCGGUGAAAUCUCGGGACGGCGGCUUGGUUGCUUGCGUCCGACUGCUGAAACUUGAUUAAACCAUAUCAUUUAGAGGAAGGUGAAGUCGUAACA
rnacentral:rRNA from 1 species